rnacentral:rRNA from 1 species
CCUACGGGUGGCAGCAGUGAGGAAUAUUGGUCAAUGGGCGCGCGCCUGAACCAGCCAAGUCGCGUGAGGGAUGACGGCCCUACGGGUUGUAAACCUCUUUUGCCGGGGAGCAACGGGGGCCACGUGUGGCGCCACUGAGAGUACCCGGAGAAAAAGCAUCGGCUAACUCCGUGCCAGCAGCCGCGGUAAUACGGAGGAUGCGAGCGUUAUCCGGAUUUAUUGGGUUUAAAGGGUGCGUAGGCGGAACGUUAAGUCAGCGGUCAAAUUGCGGGGCUCAACCCCUUUCCGCCGUUGAAACUGGCGUUCUUGAGUGGAAGAGAAGUAUGCGGAAUGCGUGGUGUAGCGGUGAAAUGCAUAGAUAUCACGCAGAACCCCGAUUGCGAAGGCAGCAUGCCGGCGUCCAACUGACGCUGAAGCACGAAAGCGUGGGUAUCGAACAGGAUUAGAUACCCUUGUAGUC